AUAAAAAUUUUCAACAAAAUUUGAUAUGGGUUAUUAUCCAAAGCAUAGGUGCAAUCUCCGAAGAAAUUGCUGUGAUCAGGCCGCUAAAGCAUAUACUCGGUACAUAUGUACCUGUCAUACAAACUUAAUGAUCGGAAGCAACUGCUUUUAUACUUGACUAGAUAGCUUCAAGAAAUUUGGCAUGGGCUAUUCUCUACGGCAUCGCUGCAAUCCCUGUAGAAAUUGUUGCAAUCAGGCCACUAUAGGACUAUAUUCUGACAAUAAUUCAAAUUUUUGCUACUCUAACACAUACAGAUAUGAUUAUCGAUAUUUUGCUUUAGUUAUAAUCGGAAACAUAUGUGCUUGCAUUAGAAGCCAAUUUCGAUUGGUAGUUUGUUUUUGACAACAGAAAUGGUUAGUCUUCGAUUUUUUCCUUUUGAAAAAAAUGGAUCAAAGAAUAUGUAUUAAAUUUUGCGUUAAAAAUGGAAUAAAGCACUUGAGGACGAGAAGAUGUUGACGACGAUGAACAUUCUGGAGGUGCGACCACGUCAACAAGCGAAGAAAACAUCGAAACAGUGAAAAAAAUUGGGUUUGAAAAUCGUCAAAUCACUAUUGGGGAAGUUGCAGAGAAGUUAGCAUAUCAAUUGGCUCAUGCUAUUCAAUUUUCUCGAAUGUUUUGGGCAUGAAAUGUGUGGCAGUUGGCUCAAGAUGCCAAAAGAAAAUGAAGGAAAGGAUGACAUUUUGCCACAAUUGAUAAGAUCAAGUCAAAAUAGAAGAAAGAGCUGAUGACCAUACCGAAAAGAGCAUUUCAGAAGCGCUUCGAGGAUUGGAAAAAGCGUUGGCAUAAGUGUAUUGUAUCCGAAGGGGAUUACUUUGAAGGGAACAAAAUAGAUAUUUAUGAAUAAGUAAGAACUUAAAAAACAAAAAUCAAAAUUCACCUUUUCCUUUAAACACACCUCGUACAUAUGUAUGUAUGUAUGUAUUAUAAUAAUCAUUAACAUGGUAAUUUUUUCCAAACGGUAGAAAAAGUAAAAAAAAAACACUAUUUUUUGACUCUUAAUUGCCUUUUAUUUUCUUAACAAUACAAAUUCACAGACUAAUCCAGUAGUUAAGUGUUAUCGUAUUCCGCCAUAUACGAAAAGACAUUUUAAAUAAUGUAAACAUAGAAUUUAACGUUGAGACUAAUUAUUCAUAUAAACAAUUCAUAUCAAAAAUAUUUUAACAUCCACUAAUACAAAUAGUAUUGCAGUUUAUAAAUAUAAUAGUUUUUCGUAAUAAAUGUUUGUAUAAAAAUAUGCA